UACGUAGGGGGCAAGCGUUAUCCGGAUUUACUGGGUGUAAAGGGGGCGCAGACGGCGAUGCAAGCCAGGAGUGAAAGCCCGGGGCCCAACCCCGGGACUGCUCUUGGAACUGCGUGGCUGGAGUGCAGGAGGGGCAGGCGGAAUUCCUGGUGUAGCGGUGAAAAGCGUAGAUAUCAGGAGGAACACCGGUGGCGAAGGCGGCCUGCUGGACUGCAACUGACGUUGAGGCCCGAAAGCGUGGGGAGCAAACAGG
rnacentral:rRNA from 1 species